UUUUACAUGCAUGUCUAAGGGUAGGACAAGAAUGAGUGGCAAAAGGUGUUGGCACUUCUCAUGCAAACACCAUGUAUUUAAAACUUUGGUCUGAUGUUACAACUAACCUCAUCUGACUGUCUCAUGUCUGACCAUUCCUCUAAUAUCUCAGUGUCUAGUGAUCUAAACCAUCCAGAAACACCCUACAAGAAGAGUUUCGUACUAGCUUAACACCCUUAGUUGAAUGAACCGUGUGUGUCCAGAAGAGGGAAGCAGGAGUGUGCACAGGAGCAGUAGUAUGACUUUUCCUGUUCGGUGACAACCAUCUUUUGCAAAUUAUGUCAAACUUAAGCCUGUCUUUCCCGAAUCAGCUACUUGAGCAACUGUCAUCAGAAAUGACAUCAAAAGUCAUCAGAGUGCUGGUGCUAGUGGAAGGGAGCAAGCCGAUCACACAACUAAUGGAGCUGGAGAGUGUAGGCAUGUCUGAAGUGGUCUGGACUGAAUCUUCAGAAGGAGAGUGUGGCAAGAGACCUUGCUGGGAUUAUAGGUCAAAAAGAGCAGAUAACUGGCUAAGAUAAAAGGGGGGAGAUGGAACCAUUAUGAAAUCUAAGGAGCAAAAGUAGUACCUGCAGAAGUUGGUAGAAACCCUCAAUAAAGGCAGUAAUUACACAGAAGAGCGACUUUAAUGCCAAUCAGAAACCAAAGGAAACUUUUGGAGAAACAGCACUGGAUAUUCCAUCACUUUGUCAACUAAGUUUUAACUGAGGACCAGUCUUCUUUCUGUGGCAGUCUGUGUGUUGAAGAGGUUGCUGAACACACUGGCUCCUUUUAGUCUGCUUGCUGAUUUGCAGAACAGAGGAGAGAAUGUUUUACUCAUGGAAAAAAACCAAACCACAUAUUUAGAAUUAACUGGAAGCAUCUUUGCUGACAGUCAGAUUGCUCUUUCUCCUUAGGAUUUUCAUAUCUGACCUCUUGCCAGAACAGGCUCUUUUUCUCUGCAUUUACUAUUAAAUUCCUGAGUUCACCUUCUAGUAAGUGAGAUGCUACUAGCUCUUACAUUUGCCUGUUCGUGCUGGGUUAUCAUUCUACUUGGUGACUACUCAAGACAGUUUAUUCCUGGUUGGAAUUGGAUUUGCUUGUUUUUGGCGAUAUUGCUAUUUACUAUAUCAUUCUGUAGUAUCUUGUUUUUCUUAAUGCUGACAACUUAAAACACUAAAAAGCUAUCACGGGUGGAGAUGGUCUAAGUAUUGUGUCAGUUUGGAGACCAGUCAUUUGAAAAAGUUGUUUUUGUUAGCAGAUCUCAUUACCCAUUAUUAAAAAUGUAGAUGUUAAAUUAUUGUUGUUGUGAGAAUUUUAAACAUUUCAACAUUUGUCCUUUAAUUUUAUAUAAUUUCUGAAUAAUGAAAAUAGUCAUGAACAUCAUAGUUUCAUAUUGUUUACAAUCAGUUUUCAAUUAUUACUACAAGCAGUAAUACAGUGCUAAGUACUGGGCUGAAAAUACUUUGGUUGGCACUUUUCAAAGUUGACAAUACUGUAGCUGCCUCCUCAUGAUUCAAUGUAAGUUUUCGGUUUUGCUGAAGCUGGAGGAAGACACACUACGAUGCUUUCUAUGUUCAUCUCCACUUUCUUCAACAGAAACAUGCUUGCUCCUGUGCAAGGAGUGCAAGUGCCCUUGAUACUUUUGUGGUGUGUAUAUUUGAAAUGUGUACAUUGGCUAUUUCUACUCUCACUUCUUGUGUCCUACCAUUAAUAUUAUAUGAGGUAAGUGUUCUGUCACACUGUUACUACAGUUUGGCUUCCAGAUUAGUCUCUCAAAUAAAUAUGCUGUGUUUGAGGGAUGUAGGAAACUGGAAAUGUUACCCUCAAAACAUAAGAAAGUAGUUAAAGAUUCUCCUGCACUUCCCUUUCUAAGUCAGUAAUUCUCAGUUACAGGACCUUGUUACAAAUGCUGUUAAAAUUCUUUUCCUUGUAUCCUUCUCGAGUCAACGAUGAUGAGACUAAACGUCCUGUAGCUUGCAUCUGAGCCGAAUAAACAAAUUCUGG